rnacentral:lncRNA from 1 species
GUGUGGUGGUGCUGGUUAACACUGUGGACUCUCCCAGUGUGGUGGUGUGUUGCUGGUUAACACUGUGGACUCUCCCAGUGUGGUGGUGUGGUGCUGGUUAACACUGUGGACUCUCCCAGUGUGGUGGUGCUGGUUAACACUGUGGACUCUCCCAGUGGUGGAGUGGGUUAACACUGUGGACUCUCCCAGUGUGGUGGUGCUGGUUAACACUGUGGACUCUCCCAGUGUGGUGGUGUAGGUUAACACUGUGGACUCUCCCAGUGUGGUGGUGUGGUGUAGGUUAACACUGUGGACUCUCCCAGUGGUGUGGUG